CCUCCAGACGCCAGCCGGAAAGGCGGUCAUAGAACACCAGGUUCCUAAUCUGGGGGUCGCGCGUUCGAAUCGCGCCGGGAUCACCA
rnacentral:tRNA from 1 species